CUACGGGACGCUCCAGUGAGGAAUAUUGCACAAUGGGGGGAACCCUGAUGCAGCAACGCCGCGUGGAGGAUGACGCAUUUCGGUGUGUAAACUCCUUUUAUAUGUCAAGAAAAUGACGGUAGCAUAUGAAUAAGCACCGGCUAACUCCGUGCCAGCAGCCGCGGUAAUACGGAGGGUGCAAGCGUUACUCGGAAUCACUGGGCGUAAAGGACGCGUAGGCGGGUUGGAAAGUCAGGUGUGAAAUCCUACAGCUUAACUGUAGAACUGCACUUGAAACUUCUAAUCUAGAGUAUGGGAGGGGGAGAUGGAAUUAGUGGUGUAGGGGUAAAAUCCGUAGAUAUCACUAGGAAUACCUAAAGCGAAGGCGAUCUCCUGGAACAUCAUUGACGCUGAGGCAUGAAAGCGUGGGGAGCAAACAGGAUUAGAUACCCUAGUAGUC
rnacentral:rRNA from 1 species